UGUGGCGAGCUUGAGGAGGCUCGCAAGAUUUUCCACUCCAUGGGAACUCGGAGUGUUGUGUCCUACAACGCGAUCAUCCAGGGCUGCGGCUCGAACGGACAAGCUGAACUUGCUCUGGAGUACUACUCUGCCCUGAGAGCUGAUAACACCAUUCAACCCGACGAUCGGACACAUGUCGCAGUGAUCAGCGCCUGCUCCACACUUGCUACCGAAUCCAGCGAGAAGAGGGAGAGAGCUCUACGCAUCGGGAUGGAAGUCCAUUCAGUACUGAGCAAGGAGAAGAAACAUCUAGGUUUGUACAUGGCGACUUGCCUGGUAGACAUGUACUGCAAGUGUGGCGAGCUUGAGGAGGCUCGCAAGAUUUUCCACUCCAUGGGAACUCGGAGUGUUGUGUCCUACACCGCGAUCAUCCAGGGCUGCAACACGAACGGGCAAGCUGAACUUGCUCUGGAGUACUACUCUGCCCUGAGAGUUGAUAACACCAUUCAACCCGACGAUCGGACACAUGUCGCGGUGAUCAGCGCCUGUUCCACACUUGCUACGGAAUCCAGCGAGAAGAGGGAGAGAGCUCUACGCAUCGGGAUGGAAGUCCAUUCAGUACUGAGCAAGGAGAAGAAACAUCUAGGUCUGUACAUGGCGACUUGCCUGGUAGACAUGUACUGCAAGUGUGGCGAGCUUGAGGAGGCUUGCAAGAUUUUCCACUCCAUGGGAACUCGGAGUGUUGUGUCCUACACCGCGAUCAUCCAGGGCUGCAACACGAACGGGCGAGCUGAACUUGCUCUGGAGUACUACUCUGCCCUGAGAGCUGAUAACACCAUUCAACCCGACGAUUGGACUCAUGUCGUGGUGAUCAGCGCCUGCUCCACACUUGCUACCGAAUCCAGCGAGAAGAGGGAGAGAGCUCUAUGCAUCGGGAUGGAGAUCCAUUCAAUGCUGAGCAAGGAGAAGAAACAGCUAGAUCUGUUCGUGGCGAAUUGCCUGGUAGACAUGUACUGCAAGUGUGGCGAGCUUGAGGAGGCUCGCAAGAUUUUCCACUCCAUGGGAACUCGGACUGUUGUGUCCUACACCGCGAUCAUCCAGGGCUGCAACACGAACGGGCGACCUGAACUUGCUCUGGAGUACUACUCUGCCCUGAGAGCUGAUAACACCAUUCAACCCGACGAUCAGACUUAUGUCGUAGUGAUCAGCGCCUGCUCCACACUUGCUACUGAAUCCAGCGAGAAGAGGGAGAGAGCUCUACGCAUCGGGAUGGAGAUCCAUUCAAUGCUGAGCAAGGAGAAGAAACAGCUAGAUCUGUUCGUGGCGAAUUGCCUGGUAGACAUGUACUGCAAGUGUGGCGAGCUUGAGGAGGCUCGCAAGAUUUUCCACUCUAUGGGAACUCGGAGUGUUGUGUCC
rnacentral:lncRNA from 1 species